rnacentral:rRNA from 1 species
GACGAACGCUGGCGGCGUGCCUAACACAUGCAAGUCGAACGAACCGCCACUACGUGCUUGCACUUGGUCAAGGUGAGUGGCGAACGGGUGAGUAAUACGUGGGUAUCCACUUUCAUAUUGGGGGAUAAGAGUCGGAACAUACUCCUAUACCCGCCACGGACAUAGGGUGACAUGAUCCGGUUUUUAGAGGUUGCGCGAGCUAUCGCGCCGAUAUCGAGUCGGGGAGCAUUAGCUAGUUGGUGGGGUAAAGGCCUAGCAAGGCGAUGAUGCAUAGCCGACCUGAGAGGGUGAUCGGCCACAGUGGGAGUGAGACACGGCCCAGACUCCUACGGGAGGCAGCAGUAGGGAAUCUUGGGCAAUGGGCGCAAGUCUGACGGAGCAACGCCGCGUGAGUGAAGAAGGUCUUCGGGUCGUAAAGCUCUGUUGUUAGAGAAGAACAGCGCAUAGAGUAACUGUGAUGCUUGUGACGGUACCUAAACAAAAAGCAACGGCUAACUACGUG